rnacentral:rRNA from 1 species
CCUACGGGAGGCAGCAGUGGGGAAUAUUGGACAAUGGGGGCAACCCUGAUCCAGCCAUGCCGCGUGUGUGAAGAAGGCCCUCGGGUUGUAAAGCACUUUCAGUGAGGAAGAACGCCUGGUGGUUAAUACCCAUCAGGAAAGACAUCACUCACAGAAGAAGCACCGGCUAACUCCGUGCCAGCAGCCGCGGUAAUACGGAGGGUGCGAGCGUUAAUCGGAAUUACUGGGCGUAAAGCGCGCGUAGGUGGCUUGAUAAGCCGGUUGUGAAAGCCCCGGGCUCAACCUGGGAACGGCAUCCGGAACUGUCAAGCUAGAGUGCAGGAGAGGAAGGUAGAAUUCCCGGUGUAGCGGUGAAAUGCGUAGAGAUCGGGAGGAAUACCAGUGGCGAAGGCGGCCUUCUGGACUGACACUGACACUGAGGUGCGAAAGCGUGGGUAGCAAACAGGAUUAGAUUACCCUAGUAGUC